rnacentral:rRNA from 1 species
AACGAACGCUGGCGGCAUGCCUAACACAUGCAAGUCGAACGAGACCUUCGGGUCUAGUGGCGCACGGGUGCGUAACGCGUGGGAAUCUGCCCUUGGGUUCGGAAUAACAGUUGGAAACGACUGCUAAUACCGGAUGAUGACGUAAGUCCAAAGAUUUAUCGCCCAAGGAUGAGCCCGCGUAGGAUUAGCUAGUUGGUGAGGGAAAGGCUCACCAAGGCGACGAUCCUUAGCUGGUCUGAGAGGAUGGUCAGCCACACUGGGACUGAGACACGGCCCAGACUCCUACGGGAGGCAGCAGUGGGGAAUAUUGGACAAUGGGCGAAAGCCUGAUACAGCAAUGCCGCGUGAGUGAUGAAGGCCUUAGGGUUGUAAAGCUCUUUUACCCGGGAUGAUAAUGACAGUACCGGGAGAAUAAGCUCCGGCUAACUCCGUG